GGGUAUCGAACAGAUUAGAUACCCUUGUAGUCGCACGUAAACGAUUGAUGCCCGCUGUUUGCGAUAUACUGUGAGCGAUAAGAGAAUCGUUAAGCAUCCCACUGGGGAGUACGCCGGCAACGGUGAAACUCAAAGGAAAUUGACGGGGGCCGCACAAGCGGAGGAACAUGUGGUUUAAUUUCGAUGAUACGCGAGGAACCUUUACCCGGGCUUGAACUGCCAGCGAACGAUUCAGAGAUGAUGAGGCCCUUCGGGGCGCUGGUGGAGGUGCUGCAUGGUUGUCGUCAGCUCGUGCCGUGAGGUGUCGGCUUAAGUGCCAUAACGAGCGCAACCCUUUUCUUUAGUUGCCAUCAGGUAAUGCUGGGCACUCUGGAGAUACUGCCACCGUAAGGUGUGAGGAAGGUGGGGAUGACGUCAAAUCAGCACGGCCCUUACGUCCGGGGCUACACACGUGUUACAAUGGGGGGUACAGAGAGUCGGAUAUACGCAAGUAUGUUCUAAUCCUUAAAGCCUUCCUCAGUUCGGAUUGGGGUCUGCAACCCGACCCCAUGAAGCUGGAUUCGCUAGUAAUCGCGCAUCAGCCAUGGCGCGGUGAAUACGUUCCCGGGCCUUGUACACACCGCCCGUCAAGCCAUGAAAGCCGGGGGCGCUUGAAGUCCGUGACCGCAAGGAUCGGCCUAGAGCGAAACUGGUAAUUGGGGCUAAGUCGUAACAAGGUAGCCGUAA
rnacentral:rRNA from 1 species